GGGUUGUGAGGUUAAGCGACUAAGCGUACACGGUGGAUGCCCUGGCAGUCAGAGGCGAUGAAGGACGUGCUAAUCUGCGAUAAGCGUCGGUAAGGUGAUAUGAACCGUUAUAACCGGCGAUUUCCGAAUGGGGAAACCCAGUGUGAUUCGUCACACUAUCAUUAACUGAAUCCAUAGGUUAAUGAGGCGAACCGGGGGAACUGAAACAUCUAAGUACCCCGAGGAAAAGAAAUCAACCGAGAUUCCCCCAGUAGCGGCGAGCGAACGGGGAGCAGCCCAGAGCCUGAAUCAGUGUGUGUGUUAGUGGAAGCGUCUGGAAAGGCGUGCGAUACAGGGUGACAGCCCCGUACACAAAAAUGCACAUACUGUGAGCUCGAUGAGUAGGGCGGGACACGUGGUAUCCUGUCUGAAUAUGGGGGGACCAUCCUCCAAGGCUAAAUACUCCUGACUGACCGAUAGUGAACCAGUACCGUGAGGGAAAGGCGAAAAGAACCCCGGCGAGGGGAGUGAAAAAGAACCUGAAACCGUGUACGUACAAGCAGUGGGAGCACGCUUAGGCGUGUGACUGCGUACCUUUUGUAUAAUGGGUCAGCGACUUAUAUUCUGUAGCAAGGUUAACCGAAUAGGGGAGCCGAAGGGAAACCGAGUCUUAACUGGGCGUUAAGUUGCAGGGUAUAGACCCGAAACCCGGUGAUCUAGCCAUGGGCAGGUUGAAGGUUGGGUAACACUAACUGGAGGACCGAACCGACUAAUGUUGAAAAAUUAGCGGAUGACUUGUGGCUGGGGGUGAAAGGCCAAUCAAACCGGGAGAUAGCUGGUUCUCCCCGAAAGCUAUUUAGGUAGCGCCUCGUGAAUUCAUCUCCGGGGGUAGAGCACUGUUUCGGCAAGGGGGUCAUCCCGACUUACCAACCCGAUGCAAACUGCGAAUACCGGAGAAUGUUAUUACGGGAGACACACGGCGGGUGCUAACGUCCGUCGUGAAGAGGGAAACAACCCAGACCGCCAGCUAAGGUCCCAAAGUCAUGGUUAAGUGGGAAACGAUGUGGGAAGGCCCAGACAGCCAGGAUGUUGGCUUAGAAGCAGCCAUCAUUUAAAGAAAGCGUAAUAGCUCACUGGUCGAGUCGGCCUGCGCGGAAGAUGUAACGGGGCUAAACCAUGCACCGAAGCUGCGGCAGCGACGCUUAUGCGUUGUUGGGUAGGGGAGCGUUCUGUAAGCCUGUGAAGGUGUGCUGUGAGGUAUGCUGGAGGUAUCAGAAGUGCGAAUGCUGACAUAAGUAACGAUAAAGCGGGUGAAAAGCCCGCUCGCCGGAAGACCAAGGGUUCCUGUCCAACGUUAAUCGGGGCAGGGUGAGUCGACCCCUAAGGCGAGGCCGAAAGGCGUAGUCGAUGGGAAACAGGUUAAUAUUCCUGUACUUGGUGUUACUGCGAAGGGGGGACGGAGAAGGCUAUGUUGGCCGGGCGACGGUUGUCCCGGUUUAAGCGUGUAGGCUGGUUUUCCAGGCAAAUCCGGAAAAUCAAGGCCGAGGCGUGAUGACGAGGCACUACGGUGCUGAAGCAACAAAUGCCCUGCUUCCAGGAAAAGCCUCUAAGCAUCAGGUAACAUCAAAUCGUACCCCAAACCGACACAGGUGGUCAGGUAGAGAAUACCAAGGCGCUUGAGAGAACUCGGGUGAAGGAACUAGGCAAAAUGGUGCCGUAACUUCGGGAGAAGGCACGCUGAUACGUAGGUGAAGCGACUUGCUCGUGGAGCUGAAAUCAGUCGAAGAUACCAGCUGGCUGCAACUGUUUAUUAAAAACACAGCACUGUGCAAACACGAAAGUGGACGUAUACGGUGUGACGCCUGCCCGGUGCCGGAAGGUUAAUUGAUGGGGUUAGCGCAAGCGAAGCUCUUGAUCGAAGCCCCGGUAAACGGCGGCCGUAACUAUAACGGUCCUAAGGUAGCGAAAUUCCUUGUCGGGUAAGUUCCGACCUGCACGAAUGGCGUAAUGAUGGCCAGGCUGUCUCCACCCGAGACUCAGUGAAAUUGAACUCGCUGUGAAGAUGCAGUGUACCCGCGGCAAGACGGAAAGACCCCGUGAACCUUUACUAUAGCUUGACACUGAACAUUGAGCCUUGAUGUGUAGGAUAGGUGGGAGGCUUUGAAGUGUGGACGCCAGUCUGCAUGGAGCCGACCUUGAAAUACCACCCUUUAAUGUUUGAUGUUCUAACGUGGACCCGUGAUCCGGGUUGCGGACAGUGUCUGGUGGGUAGUUUGACUGGGGCGGUCUCCUCCUAAAGAGUAACGGAGGAGCACGAAGGUUGGCUAAUCCUGGUCGGACAUCAGGAGGUUAGUGCAAUGGCAUAAGCCAGCUUGACUGCGAGCGUGACGGCGCGAGCAGGUGCGAAAGCAGGUCAUAGUGAUCCGGUGGUUCUGAAUGGAAGGGCCAUCGCUCAACGGAUAAAAGGUACUCCGGGGAUAACAGGCUGAUACCGCCCAAGAGUUCAUAUCGACGGCGGUGUUUGGCACCUCGAUGUCGGCUCAUCACAUCCUGGGGCUGAAGUAGGUCCCAAGGGUAUGGCUGUUCGCCAUUUAAAGUGGUACGCGAGCUGGGUUUAGAACGUCGUGAGACAGUUCGGUCCCUAUCUGCCGUGGGCGCUGGAGAACUGAGGGGGGCUGCUCCUAGUACGAGAGGACCGGAGUGGACGCAUCACUGGUGUUCGGGUUGUCAUGCCAAUGGCACUGCCCGGUAGCUAAAUGCGGAAGAGAUAAGUGCUGAAAGCAUCUAAGCACGAAACUUGCCCCG
rnacentral:rRNA from 1 species